rnacentral:rRNA from 1 species
GUCUUUCAAGUCCGAUGCUAAAGACUGGGGCUCAACCCCAGGGGUGCGUUGGAUACUGUGAGGCUAGACGGUCGGAGGGGGUAGCGGAAUUUCCGGAGUAGCGGUGAAAUGCGCAGAUACCGGAAGGAACGCCAAUAGCGAAGGCAGCUACCUGGACGACUUGUGACGCUGAGGCGCGAAAGCGUGGGGAGCAAACCGGAUUAGAUACCCGGGUAGUCCACGCCCUAAACCAUGAGUGCUGGGUGUCCGGCUUCUGCUGGGUGCCGUAGCUAACGCGCUAAGCACUCCGCCUGGGAAGUACGCACGCAAGUGUGAAACUCAAAGGAAUUGACGGGGGCCCGCACAAGCGGUGGAGCAUGUGGUUUAAUUCGAAGCGACGCGAAGAACCUUACCAGGCCUUGACAUGCCCGGAACCCCUCUGAAAGGAGGGGGUGCCCGCAAGGGAGCCGGGACACAGGUGCUGCAUGGCCGUCGUCAGCUCGUGUCGUGAGAUGUUGGGUUAAGUCCCGCAACGAGCGCAACCCCUAUCCCUAGUUGCCAGCAGUUCGGCUGGGCACUCUAUGGAGACUGCCUGCGAAAGCAGGAGGAAGGCGGGGAUGACGUCUGGUCCGCAUGGCCCUUACGGCCUGGGCGACACACGUGCUACAAUGCCAAGGACAGAGCGCUGCUACCUCGCGAGAGGACGCCAAUCGCAAAAACCUUGGCUCAGUUCGGAUUGGAGUCUGCAACUCGACUCCAUGAAGCCGGAUUCGCUAGUUAUCGCAAAUCAGCCAU